rnacentral:lncRNA from 1 species
CUGGAAGGCUGUGUGCAGCUAUCGAGGUACACUGACUACAGCCAUGGUAGGGACGGGGGAAGCUGCCUGAGUUCUAUAAUUAAAGCCAUGCUCAACAAAUGCUCCUAAAGCCAGAGGUCACAUCUGAUUUCAUCUAAAACAUUCCUCUUGUUCCCCUCUUAACCCAGUCUUGACUUUGGAGCAGUCUCAUAGCUACAGCAUAAGGGAUGGGGGCUGGUGAACUGAGAGAAGCAAGAGCCAUCCAUGGAAGGCUCAGAACAGGCUCUGCCUGUAUGUUUGCUGAACAGUAUUGGAAAACCACGAGUGCUGAACACCCAGUAAAAUCUGAGAGGGAAUGAAGGAAGCCAGAGUUGACCAGGCAUCCCAAAAGGAGGAGCCAUCCCAGACCCAUGCAGAUGUGAAGAACAGAAAUUGAAUGUGGAGGUCAUUGAGAACUUGUAUUCUGUGAAGGAGGGCUGUUUGGGUAGGAACUGUCUCUCCAGAGCCCAAGGGAGAUUUAGCCCACAUUCCAUAUAGAUACUCAACAAGGAAACUUGGUUUCCUUCCUUUAUUUGUAGUAAGCCACGAACUAAAGCAUUUAUAUCACUGUAAUAGCAUGCUUGCCCAUCAUGGUUUCAUUGUAUAUACAUAUACUACCAUACUAAAUUUAAAAGGACUGUAGACCUGGUUCAAGUUACACAGGGAAAUAGCAACUGCUUUCUAU